GUGUGUGUGUGUGUGUGUAUGUAUACACACAUACACACAUAUACACAUAUAUAUAUAUAUGUGUGUGUGUGUGUAUACAUACACACACCUG